CCUCUUUCAAUUCCCGACGCCAGGUCCUAUCUUUCGCCUGUCGCCUUCGGGCGACUAUGGCGAUAAACGGCGUGCGCAAUAGCUGUUGCGGACCCGGGGGCAGUACCCGGCGCCUCCACCAGUUUCGCCGGGCCCGGUCGGCGUUCCACCGCCGGCGGCCCGGCCCUUCCUGGGGGCGAAACAGGAUCGACGUGCAGUAAAAGGUUCGCUUUUCGCCCGGCAUUGUACCACCGUUAUCGGGCUGCCAUUACAAAUGCUAACGACAACGAUCGUAUGGCACUCGCUGCCUAGCUUCUAGGCAAGCGCGGCCCGGGGGGCGCCGGGCAACAGAAGCCCCCCACC
rnacentral:tmRNA from 1 species